AUUGAACGCUGGCGGAAUGCUUUACACAUGCAAGUCGAACGGCAGCACGGGGCAACCUGGUGGCGAGUAGCGAACGGGUGAGUAAUACAUCGGAACGUGCCCAAUCGUGGGGGAUAACGUAGCGAAAGUUACGCUAAUACCGCAUACGAUCUACGGAUGAAAGCGGGGGAUCGCAAGACCUCGCGCGAAUGGAGCGGCCGAUGUCAGAUUAGGUAGUUGGUGGGGUAAAGGCUCACCAAGCCGACGAUCUGUAGCUGGUCUGAGAGGACGACCAGCCACACUGGGACUGAGACACGGCCCAGACUCCUACGGGAGGCAGCAGUGGGGAAUUUUGGACAAUGGGCGCAAGCCUGAUCCAGCCAUUCCGCGUGCAGGAUGAAGGCCUUCGGGUUGUAACUGCUUUUGUACGGUAACGAAACGGUGAGCUCUAAUACAGUUUGUCUAAUGACGGUACCGUAAGAAUAAG
rnacentral:rRNA from 1 species